rnacentral:rRNA from 1 species
GACGAACGCUGGCGGCGUGCUUAACACAUGCAAGUCGAGCGGUAAGGCCCUUUCGGGGGUACGACGAGCGGCGAACGGUGAGUAACGCGUGGGUGACCUGCCCUCAGCUCUGGGAUAAGCCUGGGAAACCGGGUCUAAUACCGGAUAUGACUCCAUGACGCAUGUUGUGGGGUGGAAAGCCUUGUGCGGCUGAGGAUGGGCCCGCGGCCUAUCAGCUUGUUGGUGGGGUGAUGGCCUACCAAGGCGACGACGGGUAGCCGGCCUGAGAGGGCGACCGGCCACACUGGGACUGAGACACGGCCCAGACUCCUACGGGAGGCAGCAGUGGGGAAUCUUGCGCAAUGGGCGAAAGCCUGACGCAGCGACGCCGCGUGAGGGAUGACGGCCU